rnacentral:rRNA from 1 species
GACGAACGCUGGCGGCGUGCCUAAUACAUGCAAGUUGAGCGCUGAAGGUUGGUACUUGUACCAACUGGAUGAGCAGCGAACGGGUGAGUAACGCGUGGGGAAUCUGCCUUUGAGCGGGGGACAACAUUUGGAAACGAAUGCUAAUACCGCAUAAAAACUUUAAACACAAGUUUUAAGUUUGAAAGAUGCAAUUGCAUCACUCAAAGAUGAUCCCGCGUUGUAUUAGCUAGUUGGUGAGGUAAAGGCUCACCAAGGCGAUGAUACAUAGCCGACCUGAGAGGGUGGUCGGCCACAUUGGGACUGGGACACGGCCCAAACUCCUACGGGAGGCAGCAGUAGGGAAUCUUCGGCAAUGGACGAAAGUCUGACCGAGCAAAGCCGCGUGAGGGAAGAAGGUUUUCGGGUCGUAAAACUCUGUUGGUAGAGAAGAACGUUGGUGAGAGUGGAAAGCUCAUCAAGUGACGGUAACUACCCAGAAAGGGACGGCUAACUACGUG